rnacentral:miRNA from 1 species
ACCUAAACUGCUCAAACACUG